rnacentral:tRNA from 1 species
AAGCAGGUAAGCUAAAUAAGCUAUUGGGUUCAUACCCCAUUUAUGAAGGUUUUAACCCUUUCCUUUUUA